rnacentral:rRNA from 1 species
AACGAACGCUGGCGGCAGGCUUAACACAUGCAAGUCGAGCGCCCCGCAAGGGGAGCGGCAGACGGGUGAGUAACGCGUGGGAAUCUACCCACCUCUACGGAAUAACGCAUGGAAACGUGUGCUAAUACCGUAUACGCCCUUCGGGAGAAAGAUUUGUCGGGGAUGGAUGAGCCCGCGUUGGAUUAGCUAGUUGGUGGGGUAAAGGCCUACCAAGGCGACGAUCCAUAGCUGGUCUGAGAGGAUGAUCAGCCACACUGGGACUGAGACACGGCCCAGACUCCUACGGGAGGCAGCAGUGGGGAAUAUUGGACAAUGGGCGCAAGCCUGAUCCAGCCAUGCCGCGUGAGUGAUGAAGGCCCUAGGGUUGUAAAGCUCUUUCACCGGUGAAGAUAAUGACGGUAACCGGAGAAGAAGCCCCGGCUAACUUCGUGCCAGCCGCCGCCGUAAUAC